rnacentral:rRNA from 1 species
CCCUUAGAUGUUCGGGGCCGCACGCGCGCUACACUGAAGGAAUCAGCACGUCUUUCUCCUUGUCCGAAAGGACUGGGUAACCCGCUGAACCUCCUUCGUGCCAGGGAUUGGGGCUUGUAAUUCUUCCCCAUGAACGAGGAAUUCCCAGUAAGCGCGAGUCAUAAGCUCGCGUUGAUUACGUCCCUGCCCUUUGUACACACCGCCCGUCGCUACUACCGAUUGGAUGGUUUAGUGAGAUCCUCGGAUUGGUCCCGGCGCGGCCUCUGGUCGUGCCGGAGUGCCGAAAAGAAUGUCGAACUUGAUCAUCUAGAGGAAGUAAAAGUCGUAACA